rnacentral:lncRNA from 12 species
UGUUAUGUACUUACUAUACUCUUCAUAGACCUAAAAACAAAAGGACCAGGAAUGGUAACAAGGUUUGGAAAUGGGAUAUGAACCCUGAAAAUUGAGUCUCCUGCCUCCCCCAGAUGCUUGAUUACAAUACGUCUGUCUACUCUUUACCUGUUUUUUACUAGGGCGUAUUGGGUAGGGUUACAUGUAGUCAUGUGAUUCACAUGCACUCUAAAGUCUGAGAGGCACUAUGUUGUACUGCUUGGGUCACCUUUUCUUAUUUUAGAGUGUGUAACCUCUAAUUCUCGUCACCUCACCCCAGGCAACCUAACUUAACAUCCACACUUACCAAGCCCUCAGAAUAGCACCAGGUGAAUCCACAAUCAAUCAGCCAACUCCAGUGAGUGCUGGACUCUGAGGGUCUCAAAGAAGCACAGUAGACACCCUGACCUGUGGGGGAAUAUGCAGCAGUACACCCAGUGGAUGGCUGAGUCUGUAGAUUGUACCAAACCCUAUAUAUGAUAUGUUUUUCUCUGUACAUACAUACCUAUAAUAAAGUUUUAUUUAUAAAUUAGGCACAGAGAAAUCAGCAAUAAUAGAACAAUUAUAACAACAUACUAUAAUAAAGUUAUGUAAGUAUGGUCUCUUUCUCUCAAAGGAUCAUAUUGUAUUGUACCCCCCACCCUUUUUUUUUGCAAUGAUGUGAGGUGAUAAAACACCUACAUGAUGCGAUAAAGUGAGGUGAAUGAUGUAGGCUUUGUGAUGUAAUGUUAGGCUACUAUUAACCUCCUGACAGUUUGUCACAAGAAGGAUCAUCUCCUUCUGGACCACCGUUGACUAUGGGUAUCUGAAACCAUGGAAAGCAAAACCUACUGUAUAAGGCUUAUUCCCUGACCUCAGGAUGUUCACAGAGCUUGAGAAAGGGAAUCUGGCAGCCCAUGAAUCAAGAUAAACCAUUUUGAACUAAAUGUGAUUGCAUUUCAGAGAAAGGAGAGGGCGUGGUAGCCCAGGUGAACCAUGUAUACAGAGCCACCAUCUUCACCUUUCACUCACCCAAUUCUUCAGACCAAAAUUUGACCUUCUCAAUGGGCUUUCAGGUGACAUCAGCCCUGACAAAGCACCUAACUUCAAGCCUAAAGAAUUGCUUCUUCCCUUUGACUAAGG